UACGUAGGGUGCAAGCGUUAAUCGGAAUUACUGGGCGUAAAGCGUGCGCAGGCGGUGAUGUAAGACAGUUGUGAAAUCCCCGGGCUCAACCUGGGAACUGCAUCUGUGACUGCAUCGCUGGAGUGCGGCAGAGGGGGAUGGAAUUCCGCGUGUAGCAGUGAAAUGCGCAGAUAUGCGGAGGAACACCGAUGGCGAAGGCAAUCCCCUGGGCCUGCACUGACGCUCAUGCACGAAAGCGUGGGGAGCAAACAGG
rnacentral:rRNA from 1 species